rnacentral:ribozyme from 1 species
AAGAAUAAUGAAUGCUUUGUAAUUUAGUUGAUUUCUCUUAUUAUAAUUGUUGUCACAAGAAAGAGAUAGAGUUGUUGAUACAUCUUGGGAAACAUUUUUGU